rnacentral:rRNA from 1 species
UACGAAGGGGGCUAGCGUUGUUCGGAAUUACUGGGCGUAAAGCGUAUGCAGGCGGACUUUUAAGUCGGGGGUGAAAUCCCGAGGCUCAACCUCGGAACUGCCUUCGAUACUGGAAGUCUUGAGUCCGGGAGAGGUGAGUGGAACUGCGAGUGUAGAGGUGAAAUUCGUAGAUAUUCGCAAGAACACCAGUGGCGAAGGCGGCUCACUGGCCCGAUACUGACGCUGAGGUGCGAAAGCGUGGGGAGCAAACAGG